GCCUGCAUUCGAAAGUGAUCGCGGCCUGGCCCGUGGCCCGGUCAUCGAUAGUGCAGGGAGAGGAAGGCCGGCAGCUUUCCCGUGUUUGGGGCGGCCGUCCCCCACCUCCCAGACCCUGUGGCUGCCGGACA
rnacentral:snoRNA from 1 species